rnacentral:lncRNA from 1 species
UUAUUAAAUGAGUUAACGCCACCGAAUCGCGUAAUAAAUGCCCUGUCUACCACGCCGAAAGCCUUCCUUCGAUAAAUGUCAACUGCAUUUUCACGCGGGAUAGAAGCGAGCAAGGAUAACACCGCCGGCCGGUCGGCAAGCCGGUGAAUGCUCUGGGCUCGGCGAAACUAGAUUCUCUGGGCCCCUGUAGAAUUAAGUAGAAGGGAGCGAUCCUAACAGGCGUUAAAAUAAGGGGUGCCAGCGGUAGCUCCGGGCCCGCAGGACCACAGGGGUUAGCAAGGAGCCCGGGGGCGGGGCUCGGGGGCGGGUCCGCUGGCGCCCGGAGCAGAGGCCACGCCCCUCCCGGGAGGGCUGGCAGCUCCAGCCAGGGAGCAGUUCCGGUGCCAAACCCCUGCCCUCCCCCGCUCCCCCGGAAGUGCUUGUCUAGGGUUCGGGCUGGAGAGAGGCCUUGUAGACACAGGCGCCGAGGCUCCGUCGGCUCCGAGCAGGGGGUCGGGUCGCGGGGAGAGUGAGGAGCUCCGCGGCUGCCACCCCGCGCCCCUCGCAGCGCCUUCGCGCCGUCGAAAUGGCUACCAAGAAGUAAAUGCCCAGACGUAAUGGUGAUGCAGGUGUCAUGAAGUAAGAUGCAGUAUAGCAUCCAUCCAGAUUAGGACAAAAUUAUAUCUGUUUUUCUCAGAAAAGAAUUCCAAAAGGUAAGAAAUCAUUUAUAUAAUAGUAAACUAAAUGGGAACAGUUGAGUGAUUUCCUCUGAAAGA